UCUAUUUACCAUGUUUUCACAGGCUGCUGUCUCAUAAUAUGGCGAAGACGAGUCACUUGAAGGCCUAACAGCUCUUAUGAGGAGCAGUCUUGCCAUAGAAGACUGAAAGAAUGUAAGAUUAACUUCUUUGUGACCAAUAUGACUUGCUCAUUGAUACAUUUGCUAUGUCAAUAUGAGAUGCAUGGCGAAGUAUUUAAUUUAUUUGUCUCUCUUCUAGGAGCUGUAGAAACAACAGGGUGCCUGCUGCAGUAUGACGAGGACGCCCUGAUCAUAGAAGGUCCAGUGUCUUGGCAGGGUGAAAUGGCACUGAUAUCGUGUCCUGCAGGAUGCUGUGUCCUGCAAUCCUGUGUGCUGUGCUACAGACGCGUGUGGAGGUCAACCCGAAAUGGGCACAGUAGAGUGAAAGAGGAUCCUGGCAGGGAGACGGUAGUGUCCUGCAGGAUGGUGAUGGGCAAUCUUACAAGAGACCACAGAAAACUGAUAUAGUGUAAGAUUAUCCCUGUUGGGCUCAAUAUGUCUUGCUUAUUGAUAUAUUUGCUAUGUCAAUAUGAGGUGCAUGACGAAGUAUUUAUUUAUUUGUUGUUUCUACAGCUCCCAGAAGUGAGACUGAGUGCCUGUUGCAGUAUGACGAGGAAGCAGUGACCAGAGACCUUCAGUAGACCCUGCUGGCAUGAUUGGCGGCUGAAGAACAUGAAAUCAACAGCAAUGUUUAUAAUAUUGUACAUACCUGUAUAGUCUGCACUAAAAUGCUGUACCUGUACUAUUUUUCCUCUUACUUUCAUAUUUACCACGUAUUUACUAUGAAUUGACAACUUUUACUCAAAUCCAUUUUUGUAUGUGCCCUGACUAAAACUAUCCUUAAACCUAACCUGUCAGAGGUGUAAUAACAACCUGCUCUUAGCAAUGUGGCAGCAGUCUACUUGGAUGCAGCGGGGAACAUAGAACCCUUUUUUUUGAAAAAGCAUUGUAUGUUUCUGAGUUUUAUGAAUUGUGCCCUUCCCAAACCUAACCUGUCGUAGGGGCCUAUGAAAUCCGUUUUAAUUUUUCUCAAAUUCCGUUUUAUUUUUCCUCAUUCAGUUUUUUUCUGAUAAAUUUUUUGCCAAAUUGGAUUUUUUUUACAUUUUUGAACUUAUUUUCCCCUUUCAUUCCCCCCCACACACAAAAUUUCUUAGUUAUUUAGUUCAAACUGGUGGGUGGACAGAGCCAACCACUCAUGGUUGAAUGGUAGGUAGAGAAAAGAAAAGUAAAAUUACCUACUAGCUUUUUGUAAUAUCAGCCCUCAAAAAUAUUCCAGGUAAUAAGGUAGCUGUAAUGUACAUGCGCAUAUAUUCUAUUAAAUACACGUGACGCACCCAACUAGAAGGCGAAUUCACUUCUGGUGCAUUGAAGUUGUUGGACUCUGGCUGCAUCAGGUUUUCUCGAAUACGUUUGGCUAUAUUGCAACGUGCAGCUUAGAGACAUUUUUGGUCACGUUAUAUGUAGGCAUUAAAUAAAUAGCCUCGCAAAGUCCCUACCGUCUACCGUUUCACUCAAACACAUGUUUUACAAGACGGCCGUUUUCUUCUGAUGGUGACUUGACCCUUUUUCAAAGUUGAUGCUAACUUUUAGUCACUAUGCUCCGUGGCCAACAAA